GCCGUCACUAUAUAUAUCUGGUUUUACUCCUACUCUGUUUUCCUGGCACUGUAGUGGUCCUUUAACAAAUAAAAAUUGGAAAUCUAGUGGCAGAGUAGGAGUAAAACCAUAUAUAUAUAGUGACGGC